rnacentral:misc_RNA from 1 species
ACAAAUAAAAAAAUAUUCUGUAAUCUUAUUAUUUUAGGAUCUUAUCCGUAUAAGAUAUUAAAUUAUUAAACAUUAAUGAAAGAAUUGAUAAAAGAUUGGUACUCAUACUCGAGUCUCUAAUAAAAUUUCAAACUAAGAAUAUAUUUUUCUAAAGGAUAUAUAUUUCUAAAGGAGACAAAUUUAAGAAAAGAUUCAAAUCAGUUUUAAAUCCAUACAGAUUUAAGAAUUUAUUUAAUAAAAAGAUGAAAAAAAAAAAAAGAAAAUGAUCUAGGAAUAUCCACCAAUGAUAAAUUUAUCGGUGACUGCUAAAAAAAAAAAAUUCAAAAGAGAAAAGAAGAAAAAGAGA